CCUCUCUCAGGGUUACGCACCUGGAGAGUUUCCAGUCCUCUACCAGUCUCGACUACAGGAGGGAGAGUCAAGCAGAGUCCUACCCAUUCCAUUCCUAGCUUGGGCAGUGGCUAGAGAGUGGAAGGCAAUCUGCUACAAAU
rnacentral:snoRNA from 1 species